rnacentral:rRNA from 1 species
CCUACGGGGUGCAGCAGGCGCGAAAACUUCACAAUGGGGGCAACCCCGAUGAGGGAAUUCCUAGUGCUAGCACAUUUGUGUUAGCUUUUCUUUAGCUUAGAAAACUAGAGGAAUAAGGGCUGGGUAAGACGGGUGCCAGCCGCCGCGGUAAUACCUGCAGCCCAAGUGGUGGUCGAUUUUAUUGAGUCUAAAACGUUCGUAGCCGGUUCGGUAAAUCUUUGGGUAAAUCGGGGGGCUUAACCUCCCGACUUCCGAGGAGACUGCCGAACUUGGGACCGGGAGAGGCUAGAGGUACUUCUGGGGUAGGGGUAAAAUCCUGUAAUCCUAGAAGGACCACCGGUGGCGAAGGCGUCUAGCUAGAACGGAUCCGACGGUGAGGGACGAAGCCCUGGGUCGCAAACGGGAUUAGAUACCCCCGUAGUCC